GACGUAGGAGGCGAGCGUUGUCCGGAUUCAUUGGGCGUAAAGAGCGCGCAGGCGGCUUGGUAAGUCGGAUGUGAAAACCCGAGGCUCAACCUCGGGCGUGCAUCCGAAACUGCUCGGCUAGGGGUAGGUAGGGGAGAUCGGAAUUCCUGGUGUAGCGGUGAAAUGCGCAGAUAUCAGGAAGAACACCGGUGGCGAAGGCGCUGCUCUGGGCCGGUACUGACGCUGAGGAGCGAAAGCGUGGGUAGCAAACAGG
rnacentral:rRNA from 1 species